rnacentral:rRNA from 1 species
GACGAACGCUGGCAGCGUGCUUAACACAUGCAAGUCGAACGAUGAACCCGGAGCUUGCUCUGGGGGAUUAGUGGCGAACGGGUGAGUAACACGUGAGUAACCUGCCCUGGACUCUGGGAUAAGCGUUGGAAACGACGUCUAAUACCGGAUAGGACCUUGGAUCGCAUGAUCUUGGGCGGAAAGAUUGUUCGGUCUGGGAUGGACUCGCGGCCUAUCAGCUUGUUGGUGAGGUAAUGGAUCACCAAGGCGUCGACGGGUAGCCGGCCUGAGAGGGUGACCGGCCACACUGGGACGGAGACACGGCACAGACUCCUACGGGAGGCAGCGGUAGGGAAUAUUGCACAAUGGGCGAAAGCCUGAUGCAGCAACGCCGCGUGCGGGUGGACGGCCUUCUGGUUGUAAACCGCUUUUAGUAGGGAAGAAGGGCUUCGGCUUGACGGUACCUGCAGAAAAAGGACCGGCUAAAUACGUG